GACAGCAUGGAAGGACCACCUCGCCCCUCCCGGGCUGCCCACAUUACUCGCUCCAGCUCCCGUCUCUCAUCCAAGGCCCUUUCCACUUGGGCCUGCAGGUACUCCAGGGACUCCGGAAGAGGUUCCGGAGUCAACAUUGUCGACGCUGCUUCGUUCCUGUACGAGACCACUUUGAAGACGAAAGCCGUCAUCACCCUGCCGCCUGGAUACAUGUCCAUUUAUUACCACAAACAUACUUAUCAGCAGACAUGCAUACGUAUAUAACACAAAAAGGGUGGCAAAUAAUAAACAUGCAUAUCUCCAAAACCCCGAAGCAAAACAUACACACACAAAAAAAAACACACAUACACACAAACACACUAAAAAAGUGAAAAGAAAGAGAUCUACUUACUGUCGGACAUGUGGCAAUCCGUCACUGUCGCCACGAGCUUAAGGCCCCAGAAGCCCAGCAGCUCCAUCUCGGCCAAGGGAUUGGGCAUGCUGUACUGCACCACGGUUAUGGCCUGGUGUUGUGUAUAAUAAAUAUUUCGUGCGUGGGUGUGGGCGGAUGAUUGGUUUUGGUGGGUGAUGGGGUGUGGCAUAUAAUAUAAUAAUAAGAUAUGUUAUCAUAUUUCUUCCCACUUUGUAAAAUAAAAUUAAAAAACACGGAAGGUCUUCCCUGCUGUGCAUGCUCUGCCGUUGUCGACUACACAGCUACUACUGUCAUUAUUGUUAUCAUCAUUAUUAUUUAAUUCUACUACUCGUGCCACGAUAGCUACAAUAAACACCCCCCUCCCCCCCCGCUGCUUUUCUUAUCUUUUCCUGCCGUCUGUCACCCUUAUUACUAUUAAUAAUAAUAUUUUUUAAUAUUAUCAUCGUCACAUUUAUUAUUAUUAUUAUUAUUAUUAUUAUUUAUUAAUUUUUUUAUUGUAUCUCAUCCCUGUUAUAUAAUUUUACGAUACAUACAAGCGUGUGUACAGUACAUGUUUUCAUGUCAACAUAAUAUUUUACAUACCUUCCGGNNNNNNNNNNNNNNNNNNNNNNNNNNNNNNNNNNNNNNNNNNNNNNNNNNAAGCAGCGGCGGAGGCAGAGGCAGCAGCGACAGCGGUGGCGACAGCGGCAGCGGCUACAGAGGUGGUGGUGACAGUGGCUUUGUGGCAACGGUGGCUGCAGCGACAGCAGCUGCGGCAGGAGAGGCAGCAGCGGCGGUGGCGACGGUGGCGACGGUGGCGGCGGCGGUGGAAGCAGCGGUGGUGGCGACAGCGACAGCGGCAGCGGCAGCGGCAGCGGCGGUGGUGACGGCGGCGGCGACAGCGGCGGCGGUGGCGGCGGUGACGACGGUGGCGACAGUGGCGGCGGCGACAAAGCAGCGGCGGCAGCAGAGGCAGCAGCGACAGCGGUGCCGACAGCGGCAGCAGCUACAGAGGUGGUGGUGUCAGUGGCGGCGGCGACAAAGCAGCGGCGGAGGCAGAGGCAGCAGCGACAGUGGUGGCGACGGUGGCGACAGCGGCAGCGGCUACAGAGGUGGUGGUGAUAGUGGCUUUGCGGCGACGGUGGCUGCAGCGACAGCAGCUGCGGCAGGAGAGGCAGCAGCGGCGGUGGUGACGGUGGCGACGGUGGCGGCGGCGGUGGAAGCAGCGGGUAGUGGCGACAGCGACAGCGGCAGCGGUGGUGGUGACGGCGGCGGCGACAGCGGCGGCGGUGGCGGCGGUGGCGGCGGUAACGACGGUGGCGACAGUGGCGGCGGCGACAAAGCAGCGGCGGCGGCAGAGGCAGCAGCGACAGCGGUGCCGACAGAGGGGUGGCAACAGCGGCAGCAGCUACAGAGGUGGUGGUGUCAGUGGCAGCGGCGACAGUGGCUGCAGCGACAGCAGCUGCGGCAGCAGCGGCGGCGGCGGUGGCGGCGGUGGCGACGGUGGCGGCGGCGGUGGAAGCAGCGGUGGCGACAGCGGUGGUGACAGUGGCGGUGGCAGCGGUGGCGGCAGCGACAGCGGCCGCGGCGGCGGCAACAGCACGACAGUGGCGACACAUAGCGACACGGCAGCCCCUUUUCUCCUACUAUAUUAUACCCAUAUGCAUGCCUGAUCCCUCUCCCUCUCUCCUCCUCCUCUCACCUCGAGGGCGCGCUUCACCUCCAGCUCUGCCGCCUCUCCCAUGGUGCUCAACUCGAUGGUCUCCAGCUGCUUGCAGGACAGCAUGGAAGGACCACCUCGCCCCUCCCGGGCUGCCCACAUUACUCGCUCCAGCUCCCGUCUCUCAUCCAAGGCCCUUUCCACUUGGGCCUGCAGGUACUCCAGGGACUCCGGAAGAGGUUCCGGAGUCAACAUUGUCGACGCUGCUUCGUUCCUGUACGAGACCACUUUGAAGACGAAAGCCGUCAUCACCCUGCCGCCUGGAUACAUGUCCAUUUAUUACCACAAACAUACUUAUCAGCAGACAUGCAUACGUAUAUAACACAAAAAGGGUGGCAAAUAAUAAACAUGCAUAUCUCCAAAACCCCGAAGCAAAACAUACACACACAAAAAAAAACACACAUACACACAAACACACUAAAAAAGUGAAAAGAAAGAGAUCUACUUACUGUCGGACAUGUGGCAAUCCGUCACUGUCGCCACGAGCUUAAGGCCCCAGAAGCCCAGCAGCUCCAUCUCGGCCAAGGGAUUGGGCAUGCUGUACUGCACCACGGUUAUG
rnacentral:lncRNA from 1 species